rnacentral:rRNA from 1 species
CCUACGGGGGGCUGCAGUGGGGAAUAUUGGACAAUGGGGGGAACCCCGAUCCAGCCAUGCCGCGUGUGUGAAGAAGGCCCUCGGGUUGUAAAGCACUUUCAGUGAGGAAGAACGCCUGGUGGUUAAUACCCAUCAGGAAAGACAUCACUCACAGAAGAAGCACCGGCUAACUCCGUGCCAGCAGCCGCGGUAAUACGGAGGGUGCGAGCGUUAAUCGGAAUUACUGGGCGUAAAGCGCGCGUAGGUGGCUUGAUAAGCCGGUUGUGAAAGCCCCGGGCUCAACCUGGGAACGGCAUCCGGAACUGUCAAGCUAGAGUGCAGGAGAGGAAGGUAGAAUUCCCGGUGUAGCGGUGAAAUGCGUAGAGAUCGGGAGGAAUACCAGUGGCGAAGGCGGCCUUCUGGACUGACACUGACACUGAGGUGCGAAAGCGUGGGUAGCAAACAGGAUUAGAUACCCGGGUAGUC